rnacentral:lncRNA from 1 species
GUUAACAUUCAAUAAUAUGGAUGAAAAGGUUGAAGAUUUGGUUAUAUUAUCUGAUGAACGUUUUAUUUCGUUGCCACUAAAAUAUAAUAAUGGAUAUUUUAAAGUAAGUAGCGAAGUAAAAGCAAAACUAAUUAAAAUUAAUACCAACCGCAUAUUAGAUCAAGUAAAAUAUAUUUAUAGGAAUAAUAUUUAUAACAGAAUGGAACAUGUGCAAUUAUUUCGAUCUUUUUCAAAGUUAUUUUUAAAUUAUUAUAAAAUAUCACAUAAAGAUUUGUUACAAUACACAACAGGUUUGGUUAUGCAAAAGUCGGACUUGUCAGAAGAAUCAGAAAAGAUGAUGGCAUAUGAAAUGUAUGCAGAAGAGUUAUCAGUUUUGUUAAAUUCGCUAAACUACGAAUUUGAUGGAAAAGCGUUAGGACUUAACAACAAGGUUUUACUUAUAAAUGAGGAAGAAUAUUCUUCCAAAGGGUUUAAUAAGGACACUUAUGCACAUAUACAUGAAUAUCAAUUAAUACUUAAAAAUACUUAUAAACAUUGUGCAAAGCAAGUAGCAUCGAUCAGUAAAGUAUUGAACGAUUAUAUAUUUGAAAAAUUAAACGAGAAAUAUAAUACACAUUGUGAUGAGUUGAGUGAUGAUCAUAAUUAUUUUAAUUUACCAGUAAAGCAAUACAUAUUUAUGUUGGAUUGUAAUAUAUCGUUAUAUUAUGAAUCGUAUGAGAAGGAAGAUGUUAAGAUAGAGCAACUUAUAUCGAAUAGAACGUUAUUUACUAACGUAUCAAUCGAAUUAUACAAUUAUGAUAAGUUUGAGUAUACAUUGCUUAUAGACACAAAAAUUGACGAGAAUUUAAUUGAUGGUUUAAGAGAGCAUGUUUCCAGCUAUGUGAAUGAUGAUACGAUGAUAACAAUAGAUAUCAUAGGUCGUAGGAAUAAUGCAACAGAGUCUUCAAUUGAUUAUAAGUUAGAACAGAUUUUUUUUUCAGUGAAUUGUGGUGCGAAUUGUACCAAUGCACAACCUAUAGUUGUAGAAGAAAAUGUAGAUUAUAUAUAUAUUGAUGCAAUAUGUUUUAAAAAUCGUGGUUUACGUACUAUUUGUUUUCCUACGUAUAAUUAUACUCACAUAUUUGAUAUGAGGUUAUUAAGAAUACACAGCUUUAAUGUAAAUCCUUAUCCUGAAAUUUUAUUAACAGAAGAUGUGCACAAAUCUAUUACAGAAAAGGGUCAUUGUAUUUUGGCCACACCUUUUAAGGAAGCCAUUUUUGCAUAUAAUGUAACUAAUUACAGAGAUGGAGUAUGUGACGAAUCUAUUAAUCAUUGUAGUAGAAAGUUUAGUACAGUCGAAAUAAAUAAUAUUUCAGAUGUAUCGUAUUUAAAAGGUUUAAAAGAAUACAUACAGG